UGGGGAAUAUUGCACAAUGGGCGAAAGCCUGAUGCAGCAACGCCGCGUGAGUGAUGAAGGUCUUCGGAUUGUAAAGCUCUGUCUUUUGGGACGAUAAUGACGGUACCAAAGGAGGAAGCCACGGCUAACUACGUGCCAGCAGCCGCGGUAAUACGUAGGUGGCGAGCGUUGUCCGGAUUUACUGGGCGUAAAGGGUGCGUAGGCGGAUGUUUAAGUGAGAUGUGAAAUACCCGGGCUUAACUUGGGUGCUGCAUUUCAAACUGGAUAUCUAGAGUGCAGGAGGAGGAGAAUUGACUUCUAGUGUAGCGGUGAAAUGCGUAGAGAUUAGGAAGAACACCAGUGGCGAAGGCGAUUCUCUGGACUGUAACUGACGCUGAGGCACGAAAGCGUGGGUAGCAAACAGGAUUAGAUACCCUGGUAGUCCACGCCGUAAACGAUGAGUACUAGGUGUAGGAGGUAUCGACCCCUUCU
rnacentral:rRNA from 1 species